rnacentral:tRNA from 1 species
CUGUGGCCAAGUGGUAAGGCAGCGGACUUUUAAUCCGACGAUCCUGGGUUCGAUCCCCAGCG